CCUACGGGUGGCAGCAGUGGGGAAUAUUGCGCAAUGGGCGAAAGCCUGACGCAGCGACGCCGCGUGAGGGAUGAAGGUCUUCGGAUCGUAAACCUCUGUCAGCAGGGAAGAACGGUCACUGUGCUAAUCAGCAGUGAAUUGACGGUACCUGCAAAGGAAGCACCGGCUAACUCCGUGCCAGCAGCCGCGGUAAUACGGAGGGUGCGAGCGUUAAUCGGAAUUACUGGGCGUAAAGCGUUCGUAGGCGGUAUGUCAAGUCAAGGGUGAAAUCCCCGCGCUCAACGUGGGAACUGCCUUUGAAACUGGCAAACUGGAGUGUGUUAGAGGAUAGUGGAAUUCCAGGUGUAGGAGUGAAAUGCGUAGAUAUCUGGCGGAACAUCAGUGGCGAAGGCGACUAUCUGGCACAUAACUGACGCUGAGGAGCGAAAGCGUGGGUAGCAAACAGGAUUAGAUACCCUUGUAGUC
rnacentral:rRNA from 1 species